ACAGAAUAAACUAAAAAUUGUGCCUUCAUUGCACAUUUGCACUGAUUAUCAGCACUGAAAAUGGCUAAGUUCUGCUUAUCAAGGUUAUGCUUCACAUCACCCACCAGGGAGGAUCAUCUCUCAUGAAAACUUUCAAAUUUGAUUUUGAAAAUUUAUUCAGAAAAAUUUAAGCCACGCUCUUUCCCAACACAGGAAAUAAUAUGCUCCAGAGAAUCCUCUAAUUCACCGAAAAUGGACUUGGAUAACAUUUGGGUUCUCAUACUACCACAGUCCUCUUGAGAAGGACAGCCAGGCUUGGGUGGCAGUGGUGAGGAAGGUUCCUUUCUGUCAAGGGAGCUGAUGCCUUAAAGAAGCUAUCUCCAGAUAAAGGGAGAUCUAAGGAAGGAAGCCAACGAAAGACACCAUGUACCAGAAAGCCAAGCAGGAUUUUGACAUUUAUAACCAUAAUCUCUAUAAACAAGAUGAAUUAUGGCUGGGGAUUCAGUUAGUAAAUCAACGAAAAUAAAUCCUGGUAAGGUAAUG
rnacentral:lncRNA from 1 species